rnacentral:rRNA from 1 species
GGGGGAAUCUUGGUCAAUGGGCGCAAGCCUGAACCAGCGAUGCCGCGUGAGUGAUGAAGGCCUUCGGGUUGUAAAGCUCUGUGGGGAGGGACGAAAGAAUCGGUUCUAACAGGACCGAAGUUGACGGUACCUCCUUAGCAAGCACCGGCUAACUCUGUGCCAGCAGCCGCGGUAAGACAGAGGGUGCAAACGUUGCUCGGAAUCACUGGGCGUAAAGGGCGUGUAGGCGGGAUGGCAAGUCGGGCGUGAAAUCCCUGGGCUCAACCCAGGAACUGCACUCGAAACUGCUGUUCUUGAGUAUCGGAGAGGAAAGCGGAAUACCUGGUGUAGAGGUGAAAUUCGUAGAUAUCAGGUGGAACACCGUGG